rnacentral:lncRNA from 1 species
UGGCCCAACCCUGUACUGUUUGUGCUCAGUGCUUCAGGGAAAGGUCUACACGUGGUUUAUUCUUCUCUUUCAGAUGUUUAGAAACAAAAAGCGUGAUGAGGUUUCACAGCACCUUGGAAGAAAAGCAGAGAUUUGGGAGGAGUCCCCAGCAGAGGCCACAGCCAGCGUGCUGCAAUGAGCCGUUGCCCAAGAGGGGAGCUCCGAAGGCUGCCGAAGCCCCUCCAGCAGGAUGAGAACCACAAACAAGUUAAGCUGCUUCUGUCUGCAUAUGAUGCUUGACUAACCUUGACGGUGACAGAGAUGGCCAGGCGAUGGUCACCUGCAGCGCAGCUGGGCAAUAGGCAGCCUCCAAGGCGCUCUUCUCUCCAAAGGUUUUUCAGGGGAGCUGGAUACACCAAGCAGGCAAAGGAACAGCUUUCCCAAGCUGGAAGAUCCCUCCUUCCCUUCCUGCGGGCGUGUGAGAAAAGGGUCAGGCCCAGCUGCUGCAGCCAGCCUGCAGUGAGAGAGGUCGCGGACACGGUGAUGCAAGCUAUCGGCGUCGCGCCAUCUCCCAGCCUGUGCAUUCAGCCUUCCCUCCUUCCACCAGCAGCUGCCGGGAGGAAAGGGUUAAGAAGCAACAAGACCGAGGAACGAGACCAGGGAAUUCAGCUGCUGACGCAGGUAGGAGAUCUGCAGGCAAAGCAUCCCCGUUAUAUAGCAACACGGUGUCACAGCGGUGCCGAGC